UACGUAGGUGGCAAGCGUUGUCCGGAUUUACUGGGCGUAAAGGAUGCGUAGGCGGACAUUUAAGUCAGAUAUGAAAUACCCGAGCUUAACUUGGGUGCUGCAUUUGAAACUGGGUGUCUAGAGUGCAGGAGAGGUAAGUGGAAUUCCUAGUGUAGCGGUGAAAUGCGUAGAGAUUAGGAAGAACACCAGUGGCGAAGGCGACUUACUGGACUGUAACUGACGCUGAGGCAUGAAAGCGUGGGGAGCAAACAGG
rnacentral:rRNA from 1 species